GUUCCUCCUAUGGGGCUGCAAACCCCUUCAGUUCCUUGGGUCCUUUCUCUAGCUCCUUCAUUGGAGAUCUUGUGCUCUGUCCAAUGAAUGGCUGUGAGCAUCCACUUUUGUAUUUGUCAGGCACUGGCAGAGCCUCUCAAGCCAUAGCUAUAUCAGACUGCUGUCAGUAAGCACUUGUUGGCAUCCACAAUAGUGUCUGGGUUUGGUUCUAUAUGGGAUGGAUCCCUUGGUGGGGCAGUCUCUGGAUGGUCAUUCCAUCUCUGCUCCACACUUUGUGACUAUUUCCAUGGGUAUUUUGUUCCCCCUUCUAAGAAGGGUCGAAGUAUCCACACAUUGGUCUUCCUUCUUCUUGAGUUUCAUGUGUUUUGUGAAUUGUAUCUUGGGUAUUUUGAGCUUCUGGGCUAAUAUCCACUUAUCAGUGAGUGCAUAUGAUGUGUGUUCUUUUGUGAUUGGGUUAUGUUACUCAAAAAAUACCUGACAGGAACAACUGAAAGAGGAAGUAUAGUUGGAUCAUGGUUUAAGAGACAUUUCAGAAUUCAUUAAUUUAAGGAAGGCCCAGUGGUAACAGACACUCUGUCUGUGACACUGGAAACAUGGGCUAGGAACUGUUCCCUUGGUACCAGACUGGGAUGCAGAGAGUCAGGCUCAAUCAAGGAAUUGGUCCGGCUUUUAAAGGUUUGCCCCUAACUACCUACUUCUCCCAGCUGGGUCCUAACCUAACAUAGUCCCCCUAAAUAAUGGCCUUCAUAGGAAUAGAUGUUUAAAACAUAAGUCUACAGGAAACUGUAACAAUGUAACAAUUUAAACUGAAACAAUGAGUGAAGAUGACACGUUAGCUUUUCUUAUCUUGCAACUAACAUUGUUGCAAACUUGGUUUGCUUGCCUAGUCAGUCCAUGAAGCAACAGUGUCUCUUGGCAUUUACAACUGCUAAGGAGUUUCCAAAACACAACAGCAGCAAAAACAACAGAAACAACAACAACCAUAAAACAAUAACAACAACAAUAAUAACAAUAACAACUGCAAUUUGACAGAGACCAUAUGUCAUCUGUGAAGCCUAAAAUAUUUGUCUGGCUCUUGGCAGAAAAUUUUGCUGAUUUAUAGUUUUAAGGUAAUCUCUACUGUUUUCUCCCUGAUAAUAACCCUAGUGAUGACCAAAAGGACGUUAACCCUUUGUAAUGAGGUCUGUAUUUGGUAGUCAUCUAACUUACUAUUGAGUAAGUGGAUUAUUUAUCUAGAGACCAUUUUAGUAGUUGACAAUAUUAGGUGUCUGUUUAUUACUAAGGGGUUUAGAAUGUCCUUCCAGAGUUAUAGUUGAGCUAUAGUGUGACAGUGUGGUUUUGUCAUAAGGGUACACUGAUGGCAUCUAUUAGAUGGCCUCAGAAGUUAAGAAAUGUCAGGGCUCCCUUUGGAUGUCUACAAUAGUGUUGCAUCAGUUAGCUGAUGGUGAGUGAGGGUGAGGGGUAUGUAGCACUGCUGUGUGCUCUCAGCCAGAAUCUCUACGCUUCUUGGCUUGGUUGACCACAUGCUCCUCAGUACAACUCUCACCAUCACAGGUCUCAUUAUGUUGAUGGGUUUUAAACCAAAGAACCUGCUGGGCAUUGAAGAGACAAGUCACCAAUUUGUUUGCAACAUUAGGAUGAUCUUUGUGCACUUGGUAAAUGAUAAGGAAACUUGAAGGUCAUGAUGUGUUGAUUUUUUUCAUCGGGGCAGUGUAAAACUUUCAGGGUCCAGGGAGGCAGCACCUUCCAUCAUAUUGGCAAAUGGGUUUCUUCAGGUGCUUGUUAUUUUCUUAUUAUAUUAUAUGCUUUUUUAAAAAUCUCCUUUUGAUUCUUUGUGAAUUUCACAUCAUGCAAUCCCACUCAUCUCCCCAUCCUUCCAUAUCCGUCUUCCACAUUGCAAGCCCCCCC
rnacentral:lncRNA from 1 species